rnacentral:rRNA from 1 species
AUCGAACGCUGGCGGCAGGCUUAACACAUGCAAGUCGAGCGAGCGGCGGACGGGAGAGUAAUGUCUGGGAAACUGCCUGAUGGAGGGGGAUAACUUCUGGAAACGGUAGCUAAUACCGCAUACCAUCAUAUGUGCCCAGAUGGGCUUAGCUAGUAGGUGGGGUAAUGGCUCACCUAGGCGACGAUCCCUAGCUGGUCUGAGAGGAUGACGGGCCACACUGGAACUAAGACACGGUCCAAACGCCUACGGGAGGCAGCGGUGGGGAAUAUUGCACAAGGGGCGCAAGCCUAAUGCAGCCAUGCCGCGUGUGUAAGGAAGGCCUUCGGGUUGAAAAGCACUUUCGGCGAGGAGGCGUUACUCACAGAGAAAGCACCGGCUAACUACGUGCCAGCAGCCGCGGUAAUAC